UGCUACAGGUGUGCCAUCCGGAACACACCUGAUCUUAUCUGGUCUCAGAUGUUAAGCAGGGUUGGGCCACUGGGUGAUGCUAAUUACUGUAGCCA
rnacentral:rRNA from 1 species